rnacentral:rRNA from 1 species
GAGCGCCGUAGCAAUACGGAGCGGCAGACGGGAGAGUAACACGUGGGAACGUGCCCUUCAGUUCGGAACAACCCAGGGAAACUUGGGCUAAUACCGGAUACGUCCGUAAGGAGAAAGAUUUAUCGCUGAAGGAUCGGCCCGCGUCUGACUAGCUAGUUGGUGGGGUAAUGGCCCACCAAGGCGACGAUCAGUAGCUGGUCUGAGAGGAUGAUCAGCCUCACUGGGACUGAGACACGGCCCAGACUCCUACGGGAGGCAGCAGUGGGGAAUAUUGGACAAUGGGCGCAAGCCUGAUCCAGCCAUGCCGCGUGGGUGAUGAAGGCCCUAGGGUUGUAAAGCCCUUUCGGCGGGGAAGAUAAUGACGGUACCCGCAGAAGAAGCCCCGGCUAACUUCGUG